UACGUAGGGUGCAAGCGUUAAUCGGAAUUACUGGGCGUAAAGCGUGCGCAGGCGGUUCUAUAAGGCAGAUGUGAAAGCCCCGGGCUCAACCUGGGAGGUGCGCUUGAUACUCGAGGGCUUGAGUGCGGGAGAGGAGAGUGGAAUUCCCAGUGUAGAGGUGGAAUUCGUAGAUAUUGGGAAGAACACCGGUGGCAAAGGCGGCUCUCUGGACCGUAACUGACGCUGAGGCGCGAAAGCGUGGGGAGCAAACAGG
rnacentral:rRNA from 1 species